rnacentral:tRNA from 1 species
GGGGAUAUAGCUCAGUUGGUAGAGUGCUUGCUUCAAAUGCGCAAGGCCCUGGGUUCAAUCCCCAGCACCA